UACGUAGGGUGCAAGCGUUGUCCGGAAUUAUUGGGCGUAAAGAGCUCGUAGGCGGUUUGUCGCGUCUGCUGUGAAAACUCGGGGCUUAACCCCGGGCCUGCAGUGGGUACGGGCAAACUAGAGUGCGGUAGGGGAGACUGGAAUUCCUGGUGUAGCGGUGAAAUGCGCAGAUAUCAGGAGGAACACCGGUGGCGAAGGCGGGUCUCUGGGCCGUAACUGACGCUGAGGAGCGAAAGCGUGGGGAGCGAACAGG
rnacentral:rRNA from 1 species